rnacentral:lncRNA from 1 species
GAAAAACGACUCCUGGGGAGAGUUAGAUGGGAUUUGGGGCAGGAAUCGUUCCCUGGAGGGUGGGGAUGGAGUUGCCACAGCAGCUGUGGCUGCCCCUGGGUCCCUGGCAGUGCCCAAGGCCAGGCUGGGCACUGGGACAGUGGAAGUGUCCCUGCCAGGGCGGGGGUGGCACUGGGUGGGAUUUAAGGUCCCUUCCCACCCAAACCAUUCAGGGAUUCUGAGAAGUCUUUGUGCACCAGGUACAUGCACAUCAAGGGAUGGGCAAUAAAUCCCACCACACCUGUAAAGAGCCAUGGGAUGUACAGGACACACGGGGUUUAUUCACUCACUCAUUAAACAUCUACCCCAGAGCAGCCCUGCAGUACAUCCUUCCUCCAGACUGACACACAAGAUUAGCUCAGAUUGCCUCUGUCUAUUGUUUUUAAGCAAAAAAAAAAAAACAACAAGAUUAGCUCAGAUUGCCUCUGUCUAUUGAUUUUAAGCAAAAAAAAAAAAACAACAAAGAAAAACAAAAAACCAACAACAAAACAAACCUUUUAUUUCAUAUCAUUGCAGUAAAAUAAUUGGAUUAAUUAGUUAAACCUUUCCAGCUGCAGAGAGGAGGAGACGUGUGACUUUUGAUUGCAUGCUCUCAGGACAGUCUGAGCUCUGAGCAGAGGCUCCUCAGAGAUUGUUCUUUUGAUCUGGGUGCAGAGCUCUGUGCUCACGUCACCCGGAGCAAGUCUCCGUAGCAAGGAGCUGUGCUGGCUCAGAUCCCCUCUGCAGGCUGCACAGCAAGGCAGAUGAUCUAAAUUGGAGGGAAUGGGAUCCUUGCUGAAGUUGGUAAAUCAGGCAGCCAUACCUUCUUCCCCAGCCCAGGCAGAUUUUGGCAUCCCCUUGCAGCAGGGGAGGGUGAGGGGUGUCCUGCCCCAGCAGUGGAUGCUUCUCCUUGUGCAGAAUCCAGGAGAAUUGACAUUGAACAUCGUGCCUGGCAUUAAAGGGACACUAACUGUGCUCCUGGAGGUCUCACCUGGGAACAGAAAGUUUAAAUUGGCUGGAAAGGAAAAAAAAAAAUGCAGCUCCUCUCACUUAGCCCCCUUUGGGACAGAAGCCGCAGAUGAAGAGCAAGCAAUCAACAUGUCAGCCCCUUUGGGACAGAAGCCACAGAUGAAGAGCGAGCAAUCAACAUGUCAGGAUAAAAUUAGAUUGCCACGGAGUACAAGGCUUGAUCCAGUAUCUGGAUGGGAUUUGGGUUUCAGCUCUGCAUAUCACAAUAAAACAAUCCUUGCUGAAGGUGCUCGCUCAGAGCAGCUCCUGUCACAUCUGGGAGAAGCUGGGGAAGGGCCAGGCUGAGAUUCCCUUCCUCAAUUCCACGUUCUCAGGGUUUAACUGUGGUUCUGAAGGAGGAAUGGCUGCAGGAGCCCCUCUCAGGGUGGUUUUGUUGCCAUGUCUGGCUCAGGGCUGGGGGGACAUUUCCUGCACAGAUCCCCCCAGAUCCCCUUCCCACGCCCUGCUUCCACUGGGGUGUCACUCUGAAGGGAGAAAAUGGAUUUAUUUGGGAGAACUGAGAUGGGAGAUGGGUCUGGCAGUGUCCCUGACACAAUCCAGUGGCCAGAGCUGGUCCAAAGCAAAGCCCAGGGCUGUGUCCUGAGCCAGGACCUUCACUUUGCAGCCCAGCCCUGCCUGGUGGCACAGCCACAGCCCUCAGGGCCAGGGGCUGCACUGCAGCUUGCACAGAAAGCACAGGCGUUUUGGCACCGUUUUUACAACAAAAUGCCCUAAUAAUACCAAGAAAUUAUCAUAUUUGUUUCCAUUUAAUUGGAAAAAAAUAAGGAAAAUAUUUUAAAAUAUUCAUUCCAAUGUGUUUGGUUUGGGUCAGACAAAGUGUUUUGGUUCCCUUGAAGGACCCAACAGAAGCCAGGAGCCAGCAAGUUGGGAAAUGUGAGCUCUGGUCCCACAGCCACCCUGUCCUGCUGCAUUUCAUAAAAACCUUUUUCUAACUCGAGAGUUGUCUCCCAGAGGGGCUCACGAGCAUGGCUGAGGUUUGGGUGGAAUUUUGGGGGGUUCCCCCAAAGAGGCAGUUCCCCUCUCUGACCCCCAGGCACUGCAGUUUGUCCCACAGUGAAUCCUGAGCCAUGCCCUGCUGAGGGCAGUCCUAGAUUUGGACUAAUUGAGGAUGAAAUCCACUUUCUCUGGGUGUGGAAGCACUGACAGACACACAGAGAUGUUUGAGACCCUUGUGGCUCAGCAGUGUAAGGGAUCUCAGCUGGCCCUGC